rnacentral:rRNA from 1 species
AGAGUUUGAUCAUGGCUCAGAUUGAACGCUGGCGGCAGGCCUAACACAUGCAAGUCGAGCGGUAGCACAGAGAGCUUGCUCUCGGGUGACGAGCGGCGGACGGGUGAGUAAUGUCUGGGAAACUGCCUGAUGGAGGGGGAUAACUACUGGAAACGGUAGCUAAUACCGCAUAACGUCGCAAGACCAAAGUGGGGGACCUUCGGGCCUCAUGCCAUCAGAUGUGCCCAGAUGGGAUUAGCUAGUAGGUGGGGUAACGGCUCACCUAGGCGACGAUCCCUAGCUGGUCUGAGAGGAUGACCAGCCACACUGGAACUGAGACACGGUCCAGACUCCUACGGGAGGCAGCAGUGGGGAAUAUUGCACAAUGGGCGCAAGCCUGAUGCAGCCAUGCCGCGUGUGUGAAGAAGGCCUUCGGGUUGUAAAGCACUUUCAGCGGGGAGGAAGGCGUUAAGGUUAAUAACCUUGGCGAUUGACGUUACCCGCAGAAGAAGCACCGGCUAACUCCGUGCCAGCAGCCGCGGUAAUACGGAGGGUGCAAGCGUUAAUCGGAAUUACUGGGCGUAAAGCGCACGCAGGCGGUCUGUCAAGUCGGAUGUGAAAUCCCCGGGCUCAACCUGGGAACUGCAUUCGAAACUGGCAGGCUAGAGUCUUGUAGAGGGGGGUAGAAUUCCAGGUGUAGCGGUGAAAUGCGUAGAGAUCUGGAGGAAUACCGGUGGCGAAGGCGGCCCCCUGGACAAAGACUGACGCUCAGGUGC